rnacentral:rRNA from 1 species
CAGUAGCCGCGGGAAUACAGAGGAUGCAAGCGUUAUCCGGAAUGAUUGGGCGUAAAGCGUCUGUAGGUGGCUUUUCAAGUCCACCGUCAAAUCCCAGGGCUCAACCCUGGACAGGCGGUGGAAACUACCAAGCUGGAGUACGGUAGGGGCAGAGGGAAUUUCCGGUGGAGCAGUGAAAUGCAUUGAGAUCAGAAAGAACACCAACGGCGAAAGCACUCUGCUGGGCCGACACUGACACUGAGAGACGAAAGCUAGGGGAGCAAAUGGAAUUAGAUACCCCCGUAGUCCCUGUCUCUUAUAC